GCCUCGGCAGUCUAAAGGCUUAGGACGCUCGCACGGAAUGCCAGAGAUCCGGGUUCGACUCCCGGCCGAGGUA
rfam:Cyphomyrmex costatus contig13412, whole genome shotgun sequence.